UACGGGAGGCAGCAGUAGGGAAUCUUCGGCAAUGGGGGCAACCCUGACCGAGCAACGCCGCGUGAGUGAAGAAGGUUUUCGGAUCGUAAAGCUCUGUUGUAAGUCAAGAACGAGUGUGAGAGUGGAAAGUUCACACUGUGACGGUGGCUUACCAGAAAGGGACGGCUAACUACGUGCCAGCAGCCGCGGUAAUACGUAGGUCCCGAGCGUUGUCCGGAUUUAUUGGGCGUAAAGCGAGCGCAGGCGGUUUGAUAAGUCUGAAGUUAAAGGCUGUGGCUCAACCAUAGUUCGCUUUGGAAACUGUCAAACUUGAGUGCAGAAGGGGAGAGUGGAAUUCCAUGUGUAGCGGUGAAAUGCGUAGAUAUAUGGAGGAACACCGGUGGCGAAAGCGGCUCUCUGGUCUGUAACUGACGCUGAGGCUCGAAAGCGUGGGGAGCGAACAGGAUUAGAUACCCUGGUAGUCCACGCCGUAAACGAUGAGUGCUAGGUGUUGGAUCCUUUCCGGGAUUCAGUGCCGCAGCUAACGCAUUAAGCACUCCGCCUGGGGAGUACGACCGCAAGGUUGCAACUCAAAUGAAUUGACGG
rnacentral:rRNA from 1 species